rnacentral:rRNA from 1 species
CCUACGGGGGGCAGCAGUAGGGAAUCUUCCACAAUGGGCGAAAGCCUGAUGGAGCAACGCCGCGUGGGUGAAGAAGGUCUUCGGAUCGUAAAACCCUGUUGUUAGAGAAGAAAAUGCGUGAGAGUAACUGUUCACGUUUCGACGGUAUCUAACCAGAAAGCCACGGCUAACUACGUGCCAGCAGCCGCGGUAAUACGUAGGUGGCAAGCGUUAUCCGGAUUUAUUGGGCGUAAAGGGCACGCAUGCGGUCUGUUAAGUCUGAUGGGAAAGCCUUCGGCUUAACCGGAGUAGUGCAUUGGAAACUGUGAGACUUGAGUGCAGAAGAGGAGAGUGGAACUCCAUGGGUAGCGGUGAAAUGCGUAGAUAUAUGGAAGAACACCAGUGGCGAAGGCGGCUCUCUGGUCUGUAACUGACGCUGAGGUUCGAAAGCGUGGGUAGCAAACAGGAUUAGAUACCCGGGUAGUC